rnacentral:tRNA from 1 species
CCUAAAAUGGCAGAAAGAGUGCUUAGAGUUUAAGCCUCUACUAGGAAGAUUAUUCUUCUUUUAGAA